UGGGGAAUAUUGCACAAUGGGGGAAACCCUGAUGCAGCGACGCCGCGUGAGCGAAGAAGGUUUUCGAAUCGUAAAGCUCUGUCCUAUGGGAAGAUAAUGACGGUACCAUAGGAGGAAGCCCCGGCUAACUACGUGCCAGCAGCCGCGGUAAUACGUAGGGGGCAAGCGUUGUCCGGAAUCACUGGGCGUAAAGGGUUCGCAGGCGGAAAUGCAAGUUAGUUGUGAAAGGCAGAGGCUCAACCUCUGUAAGCAAUUGAAACUGUAUUUCUUGAGAUGUGGAGAGGCAAGUGGAAUUCCUAGUGUAGCGGUGAAAUGCGUAGAUAUUAGGAAGAAUACCGGUGGCGAAGGCGACUUGCUGGACACAAACUGACGCUGAGGAACGAAAGCGUGGGUAGCAAACAGG
rnacentral:rRNA from 1 species